AUGAGCUUGUAUGUUCUGGAUCAUGAGCAGAUCCUUUCUUUCUCCACACUUUGGCCUUUCCAUCAGUAGAGGUUCAUCUUCUUUCAGGCAUUUAUUUAGAGGCCAAUUCAAGAGCUGACCAAGACGUAAACUGACAUGUUUCUCAGAGAUAGUGAUAGGAAAGAAGUAAAGUCCUGUAACUCUGGAUCAUGCGCGCCCUCUAGUGGAUAUUCAGGACAAGACAGGUUUGUGUACUGGAUAAAUCUGCACAGUAUUGGCUCCUCUGCCCCGUCCAUCAGCAGGAAAUGUACCAACAUUGAGCAGAUUCUGAGUAUCUGGGUAUAUUUUUAAAAAUAAUUUUUAAAUCACAAUGAGAUCACUCUGAAUAAUUCAGGUUUUGAGCUAGAGCUGAUAACAAACCGAGUCAGAGAUAAAAUUAUUCUUACUGUCCUGAUCUCCUGGUGUCUCUCACACACUAAUUCACUAUCUGCUGUCUAAGUUGGUUAGCUGUUAGCAAUGAACCGCGCAUUUAAAUUCGAUAUUCAAUGUGUAUAUAACAUAAACCGAUCCAUACUGAUAAUAAUUAUAUUUUUAUGAUUUUUCAAAUCAU
ensembl:lncRNA